ensembl:lncRNA
GGGUCUUCUGCUCAGGGGGCUAGCUGAGGACCCUCCUGGGGCUAUAGUUGGGCUCAGGAUCUUCUUCCAAGCUCACCUCUUGGCAGAAUUCAGUUCCUCAUGGUUUCAAGACUGGGGUGCUCAGCAGUUAAGGCUGCCCCCAUUCCCUCCACAGAGCCUUCCAUGACGCUGUGGUUUGUUUCUUCAAAGCCAACAGGUGUUUGCAUUAUGGUGAAAAUUAAUAGCAGCAGUGAAAAGAAAAACAACCACCACAAAAUUAUACAAUACCCUAAUCUGGGCUGAGAAAACAGUGCUUCUGAUAUAAUAAUGAGUUAAACUACAGAAGAAUUACAGAAAUCUGCAACUGAAAAGUUAGGGAGAAAUGUAAAGAAAAUAAGGAUUAUUUACACUCCUAGAUGAUAAUUAAUACUCCUAGAUUGCCAAAGGAUUAUUGCCCACAAAAUAAUAACAUUGUAUCACACACACACAUAAAACUGGUGUACAAAAAAGUAACACUAUUUGCAAAACCAAAGAAAAGAAUUAAAAAGAAUGUUUGUUAUGAAUAGUUUUUAUUUUGAAAGAAACAAAAGAUCUUUACAAUACUAACAAAAUUACCUUAAUCAAAAUUAGGUAAAUUAAUAAAUAAAACAAUGGUUAUGUUAAUUUAUGGCUGGAUUAAGGCAUAGCUGGGGAACAAACUAUGAUAAUGUUUUGAGAGAAUGUAACCUUUACAAAUACUAUCAAAAUCAUUUAACAAUGGAGCCCUUAAAUAUGUAUGGUAAUCCAUGCCUUUUAUGGAAAAAAAUUUAGGCCAAGAAGAAAACCAUAUUUCAGAAUUCUUUCCUGCAGGAGGAGGUAAACAGCAGAAUUAAUUGGAAGAGAAUCUAUUAAAAUGGGUGAGAAAAAAGAAUCAAAUUGUAGGAGUUAAAUAAACUAACAUAAGAAAUUUAGGGAGGUACAUUCAGGUUAAAAAGGUCUUGAAGAAAAACAGAAACAAACGAAAGAAACAGCAGAGCUAAAAAAUAAUUUACAUUUUUACUUUAUAAAAUGAAGUGGAAUCUGACCAAGAACUCAUGUCUCAAUAAGAGCGAACUGUGCAUGCACCGCUCCCAGUGGGCUUGGUAACAGGUCUUCAUCUUACGGCAAUCAUUUAUAAUGAAGGAACAUCUCAUGCAAACAAUCUAAUCUUCAGUGAUAGAACCUGGACAAAUCAGGCUCAUCUUGGAAGAAAAAUUUGAAGUCUUCAGGUGUCUUGUGCAGAAGAUACAGAAGAAGAUCAUAUUAAUAUGAGAUCAAAAUAGGAUUUAUAUAUAAAACAGUUCAAUUAAGCUUAUCUCCCUGUGAGAUUCCAGACACUGAAUGUACUUAGACUUGCUGCCAUUGAUUUAGUCACAGUCAAUACUAUUGAAUCAAAUUGUCUAAUCACGCGUUGUUUCACUGGUUCUUCCCUUGGGCUUUGUUUCCUUAAGGAACUUUGGGGAAGGACAAGAGAACAUUCUGUUGGUUGCCAUUGUAAACAGGCUUGGGACUGUCAUAAUUGCUGUUCCCCAAUAUCUGCCAGGGAGAGGUAGGGGUAGGCUAGAAAACACUAGGAAAAAAUCAAGAAAAAAGAACCUUUUAAAAGUCAGAUAUCCUUGUUAUUUCAACAAAUAUAUACUGAUAAAAAUUAUUAGUGUGUUUCUGUUAAUGUGCAGAGCAAUGCCCUCCUCCCAAAGAUAUCCAUACCCUACUCCCAGGAACCUGUGACUAUAUCGCCUUAUGCGGCAAACGGGACAUUACAGAUGCAAUUAAGAUGAAGAACCUUCAGAUGGGGAGAUUAUUCUGCAUUAUCUGGGUGGUUACAUGGGUCUUUGAAAACAGGAAUCUUUUUGGCUGUGAUCAGAGAAAGAAACGUGAUGAAGAAAGAAGGGUCAGAAGCAUGUGACACUGUUGGCUUUGAACCUGAAGAAAGGGAGCUGCCAGCCAAAGAAUGUUUGUGGCCUUUGGAAGCUGGAAAAGGAAAGGAAAUCGCUUCUCUCCAAGACCCUCUAGAGAAAAGCCCACUGCUUCUAACUUCAUUUUAGCCCAGUGAGACCUGUUUUGGACUUCUAACCUACAAAACUGUAGGAUUAUACAUUUGUAUUGUUUUAGGCACCAACUUUGUGGUAAUUUGUCACAAGAGCAAUAAAAAACUACUAUAAUUACUAAUGAAAAUUCUGCAAACACUACUCAGAGUGAAAAAUAGUUCUUUCAGCAGAGAAGCAAAAGAUAGUGUGGAAAAUAAGGAAUCAUGAAAGCAAGCCAAUUAUUGCUCCCAUCUGUCGUCCUGUCCCAACCAAUAUCUCUUACAACACCUCUGUUAGGUUAACUGCCCUCGCUGGACACUUGAACCCUACAGAGGUUGGGUUCCCUGGAAGCACAGCAGGAAAUGGGGAUUCUUGGAAAGUGAUUGGAAGUGCGCUCUCAGGAGGAGAAGGAGGCAAGCAGAAUAAAGCCAGAGAAGAAAGCUCAGCACAGAUGCAGUCUGUCCUGGAGACGAGUUUCAGCCUGGUCCCACAGGGGGUCAUAGAGCAUGAACUGCACCCUAGAGUUGAGCUCACCUUGAAGCAGGGGGCCCUUUGUGUACCCCCACGUCGGUCCAAAGGGGGCACAUGUAAGCUAUUGAAAGUCAACAGGUACAGCAGCUACACGUAAGUGCACUGGGAGGAGGGAAUGGGGGCAGUCACAACAGCAUCCACUACAAAAGAUGAUCCCAAAAGUCUGGAUCGGAACUAGAUUUUCAACUACAAGGUUAAACUAUAAACCCAUAGAGUAGAACAUUAGUUUUAAAUCAUACUUUUCCUGGAACAGCACAAAUGCCUCAAUCUUGCAAAUGGGCUAGGGUGUGGGCAGACCUCUGAAGAAGGACAACCUUAGGACAAACCAGUGAGCAAUCCAGUAGAAUAUGCAUCACUAAUUAUGGCAGGAACAUUGUAUCACUAAUUACAAUACAACGUCAGUUACAUGUUUCUCCAGGAUGCUCCAGUACUUCGUAGUAACAUAUAAAUCUCCACGCCCUGGCCAAUGUGGGAUUGAUUUUAAAAUUGUCUCUUACCAAAUAUGUAUACAGAGACUUCUAUCACUGUUUAUUAUUGUCAUGCUAUAUACAUACAUAUAUAUAGGAGAUAUAUAUAUAUAUAUAUAUAUAUAUAUAGGAUAAUGAACUGUGGGUCCCACACACAACCUGACAGAUGGCCCCUUCAACACCACAUCUGAUUAUAUAGUAAUAUAAAACCCUAAUGACCACAAUAAUGAAUGUCAGUAUUACUGAAAUACCUCCUUCUUGAUAAGGAAGGUU